GCCACCAGCGCACCCGGUUUUCGCGACAGGAUGCCAAAUUAUCUACAACAACCCUCUUAUUCUUGGUUCUUUCGGUAAAGUCACGUAGAAGGGAAAUAAUAAAAUUAUAGAAAAAUAAAACAAUACAAAUGCUCACGACGUUUCGACUGCAACACAAGCAGUCAUCAUCAGAGCUUCAUAUCUCAUCGGAUUUCUCCAGGCUAAAGAUUCUGAUUUCUGAUUAGAAUAUGAAUCAUUCAAAGUUGCCACCUCGGAGAGCUUGGGGGAAUCGAGUGGCUGCCUUCCCGCUUGUCUGCCGUUCCUCCUCGCACCUCCUAAGUCGUUUCCUCUCUUUCACGAGAUGAGACUUCACCGUGACCGGCUCAGCAUGAACAUGACAAAGUCGUCCCAGCUACGCGACGGAGGCGGACCUAU